rnacentral:tRNA from 1 species
GCUGGGGUCGCAUAGCCUGGUCAGUGCGCUGGAUUGCUAAUCCAGUGCCCGCAAGGGCACGCAGGUUCUCGCAGGCAUUGCUUUUCGGCAUUGCAUGCGGCCUAAAAAUCCUGCCCUCAGCG